rnacentral:rRNA from 1 species
GACGAACGCUGGCGGCGUGCCUAACACAUGUAAGUCGAACGAGGUCCAUGCAGUGGCAACACUGCGGAAGACCUAGUGGCGAACGGGUGAGUAACACGUGAGGAACUUGCCCCGGAGACCGGGAUAAGCCCCCGAAAGGGGGUCUAAUACCGGAUGUCCUCACCGAGUCGCAUGGCUUGGUGAGGAAAUGGAUUCCGCUCCGGGAGAGCCUCGCGGCCUAUCAGCUAGUUGGUGGGGUAACGGCCCACCAAGGCGUCGACGGGUAGCUGGUCUGAGAGGACGAUCAGCCACACUGGGACUGAGACACGGCCCAGACUCCUACGGGAGGCAGCAGUGGGGAAUCUUGCGCAAUGGGCGAAAGCCUGACGCAGCAACGCCGCGUGCGGGAUGACGGCCCUCGGGUUGUAAACCGCUUUCAGUGGGGACGAACCAAGACGGUACCCACAGAAG